rnacentral:rRNA from 1 species
CCUACGGGGGGCAGCAGUGGGGAAUAUUGCACAAUGGGGGAAACCCUGAUGCAGCGACGCCGCGUGAGUGAGGAAGUAUUUCGGUAUGUAAAGCUCUAUCAGCAGGGAAGAAAUGACGGUACCUGACUAAGAAGCCCCGGCUAACUACGUGCCAGCAGCCGCGGUAAUACGUAGGGGGCAAGCGUUAUCCGGAUUUACUGGGUGUAAAGGGAGCGUAGACGGCAGUGCAAGUCUGAAGUGAAAGGCGGGGGCCCAACCCCCGGACUGCUUUGGAAACUGUGCUGCUGGAGUGCAGGAGAGGCAAG